GUUGGUUCCUAUAAAGACACAUGGCGGUUGUUCACGUGAAAAACAAGCAGCGGAGAGCAGCAGAUGAUGGAGGUAGAAACAGAACAACGUGUUCGGGUCAUUUCAGGUGCACCUGGACCUGUGAUCAGACCCAAUCUGGCUCCCUCCAUCUGGCCACCUAAUCAUCCCGCAGUGUAACUGGCUCAAUGAUUCCCUCCCUCUCCACCUCACGCUGAUGUGUGGUCAGCGUUUUGGCACAAAAUGGCUGCCGUGCAUCACCCAGGUGGAUGCUACACAUUGGUGGUGGCUGAGAACCUGUGACCCUGUGGAGAUGAUGCUCUGUCAUCAUUGAAGUCAGACCACCAACGCGGUGGUGUCAUCACAUCUGAACAACCAAUCACAUGUCUGCAGUGCUGCAGUUUGCUGUCGGCAGUGUGAAGACAGCUGGAAAAAGACAUGAUGAACAGAACAUGUUCUAUUCUGAUGUUUGUUUACCUGCUGCAGUUCAUGUUUGGGUUCAUCCUGAAAACUCAGUGAGUCUGGAUGAAGAACGACAUGUCUCCUUCCAUUCUUUGUGAAGCAGAGAUCUGUUUCUGUUUAAUGUACAGCAACAAUCUCAACAGAAACUUCAAUGAAAUAUGGAAAAAUAAAACCAGUUAAACUG